GCCGGGAUAGCUCAUUUGGUACAACAGAGGACUGAAAAUCCUCCUGUCGGC
rnacentral:tRNA from 1 species